rnacentral:rRNA from 1 species
GCGCACCUGGGGACCGACUGACUACGUAGCACACGCGCAGGACGCACGGAGUGGAGGCAGACGCCAACCUCUCUCCUCUACCUGACCUUUUUAUAGAGCGCUCGGGUGGAGCGCGCAGAGGUAGCUGGAUCGGCGGAGGUACGAGCACGUAGGAGGGCGCAGUUACCGCGGGUUUGGAGGAGUAGAGCCUAGGGCACCCGGCUCCACGCCCGUACCUCCGCUCGUAGGGACCGCCGGCGCCGCCGGAUGUCCGUUUCCCACUGCCGCCGCCGCCGCGAGCUAAUCUAGGCGCCCUCUCUCUCUCCUACUCUCCCUCUCUAUUCCUUCUUCUACUCUCUCUCUCUCUCUCUCUCUCUCUCUCUCUCUCUCCUUUCCCCUCUCCUUCCCGAAGAUGCAGUGGCGAGAGACCUACGUGCGGUAGGUGGGCGCGUGCGAGCGGUGGUUGGAGCGGCCGAAGUGGUCCAAGGAGGUGCUGGGGGCGCUACUCGCGUUCCUGGUCCUGCUGCAGCGGCGCCGCCGGGGCCCCCGUUCUCGCCGUUCGCCGCAACGCAGCUGCCGGAACGGCGGCGGCGCCGACUCCGGCGGUUCCGGGCCGCGCUCUUCCUCCGCCUCGUGCGCGUCCGGCACGAGCGCGCGAUGCUGAGACUGCUCCGGAAGGCGUUGGAGAUGCUGUCGCAGCGGCUGGAGAAGCAGACCGACGAGUUCAGCCCGGACCUCGUGGACGCGCGCCCGUUGUGCCGGUUCUAGCACAAGCGGCGGUUCACGCGAGCAGCAUGCGUACCCAGAGGAAACGAGGUACCCACGGCGACCGACUCCUACCUCGUCGUCCGUAUCUUCUUUAGAUGUUGGUCAAAGAGAACCGACGCGGUAGAAGGCGACUGUCAUUGAGAUGUGUUGUCGGACGAUUCCAACAAAGAACGUUUUUUUUUUUUGUAUUCAGAACGUAGUAAGUAUUUUUUCAUAUACCAGUUAAAGGAAAUAUUUACAACACGAAUUUUCAUGGAAUCAAUUCAGGUAGCUGGCACUCUAGAACGAGCGGCCGGAGUAGAAAAAGAAGUCCAGCCAUCAUGCAGCAAAGUUAGGUCCCAAUUCUAAGUAGAGGGAAGUUGAUAUUAAACUUGUAAAUCGGAAAAAGGCGAGUAAUGUUCGCUGAUCCCUCGUGUGCACACGAGGGAUCGUAAGGGCUCGUGUGUGAGUUUAAAAAAAUAGGAUUAUGAUACUAUUUUUUAGGUGAGAUUUUUUUCUUUCUAGAACAGAGUACACAUUAAUAAAACACACAAGUUAAAAAAUUUUUUCAGUAUUGAAAACUUACCUCGUAGUUUUAAUUCUAGGCAAAAGUGGCAAUCUAAGACCCGCUGCACGAGAAGUUUUGAUCUAGGGUACAACUAUACAAAGCUGCUUAAAAACAAGAAGCCCGUUGAAACCAAGUGAUAUUCCGUUGAAACCAUGGUGACAUCCGUUGAAAACCAAUCCCACACAUAGUACCAGUGGAUAGUAGGCCUACAAGGAAACUCAACCGAUACUACUGACGGUUUUACGGAUCGUAGUGCACAUUCAACAGAUGGUACUGAUGGAUAGUUGAAACGACGAUAUACUUCGUGAACGACGGUCCAACGGAUACUACUGAUGCAUAGUUGAGUUACGAGAAUAUUUGAACCGAUAGUACUAAGAGUUCAAAGUAUCCCAGUGGAUACUUCAACAAAAACUACUAAUAAAAAGAGUUCGUUGAAACAACAGUGUUUAUCCGUUGAAAGCCAAUCCGAUACAUAGUACUAGUGGAUAGUAGGGCUACUAAGAAAACUGAACCGAUGUUACUGAUAGUUUAACGGAUCGUACUGUAUAUUCAACGGAUCACAGUUGAUACUUGAACGAAAGCUGAUAGGAAAAAAAAGUGUUCGUUGAAACCACGGUGCCUCUCCGUUGAAAACAUAAUGUCAUCCGUUGAAAGUUAAUCCAACACAUAGUAUCAGUAGAUAGUAGGAUUACAAGAAAACUCAACCGAUGCUACUGAUAGUUUAACGGAUCGUAGUGAACAUUCAACGGAUGGUACUGUUGGAUAGUUGCAACCACGAUGUACUGGGUAGAACAACGAAUAGUACUGAUGGAUAGUUGAGUUACGAGAAUAUUUCAACCCAUAGUACUAGAGUUCAACGAUGCGUAGUGGAUACUUUAACGAAAACUGCUUUUUGAAGAGUUCGUUGAAAACACGGUGCCUCUCCGUUGAAAACAUAAUGUCAUUCGUUGAAAACGAAUCCAACACAUAGUACCAGUAGAUAGUAGUUUUACAAGAAAACUCAACCUAUGCUACUUAUGGUUCAACGGAUGGUAGUGUACAUUCAACGGAUGGUACUGAUCGAUAGUUGAAACUAUGAUGUAUUGCGUGGAGCAACGAUCCAACGGAUACUACCGAUGUAUAGUUUAGUUACGAAAAUAUUCAACCGAUAGGACUUGCAAUUGAACGGAUCGCGGUGGAUACUUUAAAGAAAACGACUUGAAAAAAGAACAGUCUAUCUGUUGAAACCGCCUACCCCUCCGUUGAAAACUUUAUUCCAUUCGUUGAAAGCCAAUCCAAUACAUAGUACCAGUGGAUUGUUGGGUUACAAGAAAACUCAACGGAUUAUACUGAUUGUUCAACAGAUCGUAGUGGACAUUCAACGGAUGGUACUGAUGGAUAGUUGAACCACUAUGUACUUCGUAAAACAACGUUACAACGUAUAUCACUGAUGGGAUAGUUGAGCCACGAGGGUCGAUAGUACUGUCAGUACAACUGAUCGUAAUAUAUAAUUCAACGGAAGCCGUUUGAAAAAAAGCUCGCUAAAACUACGAUCCUACUUGUUAAAACCACGAUGUUCUUCGUUAAAAAAACAGUUCAACGGAUAAUACUGAUAAUAAUUUGAUUACUAAAAGAUUAUACCGAUAGUACUGAGAGUUUACUGAUUGUAGUAAGAUUUCAACGAAAACUAGUUGUAAAAAAAGUCUCCGUUGAAAUUAUGGUACCCCCCCUCCCCCCUCCCCGUUGAAACCACGAUGCUCUUCGUUGAAACACCACGUGGUCCUCUUCAGACUACUAUUCCGACUUCGAGAAAGUAGAAGAUAACUACCUUUCUUACUAUUCCUACUGGUCCCCAUCUACUGGUUUUUUUCCCUCGACACGAUGACCUUUCCCCCGACCCUGUCGUUUCUUUAGUUCCGUCAAUGAUGAGACGCGGUAGAUACGUCUCUAAUUAAUGGAUAUCAUCUCUCGUUCCCUGUAUAUUCUUUAGAGGUCCGUCGAAGCGAAUCUACGUAGUAGAAGACGAUCCUGGAUCCUCAGUCGAACUUCUUACUGGAAGAGUCCAAUUAAGAAAUAUCUCUUGUCCUCUGACGUUGACUGUACGACCUACCACUUAUUGGUUUAAACACCUGUUUCUGUCUAUCAAGUAGCGUUCCCCACCAUAAAUCCUAUAUAUAUGUGUUUUCUCCUUUGAAAGAAAACAUGUCUUGGUUUAAUAUACUACAUUAACUGGUGAUAAAGAUUCUUUACAAGUAGCACAUAAUUCAUGUAAAAUAACACAGUGAAAAAAAACUCCCCAUCGAAAUAAGUAGUUUGUGGUGUUUCACACGUUACCUCAAGUAGUUUGGACCGAAAUAACACAGUGGAUACAAAUGGAAGAAAAAAUGGCACAGCGGAUACAAAUGGAAGAAAAAUCGCAUUCGAUAAAC